GUUGCACAGAAAUGGCAAACCAGAAAAAACAGUUAAAAAGACUUUAAAUGAAAAAGAGAGAGAGAAGGAGGCGAUGUCGUAAAAGAGGUGAAGACGGAAAUAGAAACAGGAUGUAUGUUUCUAUGCAGAGGCGGGAAGGGAGUGAAAUGAAGUUGGUCACUAGAGGGUAAAAUAAGCCUAACCAGGUCAAGCGUGCACCUAUUGGAAUCUUGCCUGGAGAAGCUUGACUGUUGAGCGGUGGAGGCUCGCUGAGUUGAUACUCGAUGCACUCAACCUCAUGAGCAGAUGUUUUGGAGGAUUUCAAGCGAAGCCUUCUGGGGGACUUCUCCUGGCAUCAUUCUGACCUCGAUGAUAUAGAAUGACUGACACAAACCUGGAAGGCCAGCUGAUAGCGGCAUCAUCAUCACUACCAUCUGGCAUCUGCUUCACCAAAGAAGAAGAAGCAGUUCCAGGGAUCACAUUGGAGACCUUGGUGGGAUGUGUGUUCAUUAAAUCAGUAUAGCCCUCAAAAUCAAAAUGACACUUGGAAAAGGGUUCCUCAUACCUGCUCUAAACAUUCCCGUAUGGCGAUGAUGUCAGGUUUUAUGUUGCAUAGUUAUAAUUCUCUCUUGGGACCAUCAGGUUCAGUAGUGCUCUGUUAGACACACACAAACCAACCGUCAGCAAAUAUCUGACCUGCUGAAGCUGCCUUUUUAACUUCUCUGAAUUUCCUGUAAUUGGAGGAAAAACCCAGAUUUCCUGAUCAAAAAUGAGCCAAGCGAUUUGGAGUUUUCUGACAUACCUAAAAUGUAUCCUGUUUACUUAACGACUUCAGGGGGCUGUCUAUCGGCGCCUCUGACUCAUCCUCCCCCAGCAACUGAGUUUCUGGCUGUAUCUAAUUGUUUUUGGUCGUCAGGCGAGCAAAGGGACAGGCUGUGAGGGGAGAUUGUUGUUGGAGACGACAGAGCUCUACAGGAGUGAGUCUCCCUGUGAGAAACAAUAACGACGAAACAAUGCAAUUACUGUGAAAGGAGGCUUUCAGUCUCAGCCGAGACUCUCAAUAGCCACCAGGACUUAAUUUCCAACUGAAGAGAGCAAUUGCAUUUAAAAGAAGUCGGGGGCAGAACAGUGGAAAGGAAAAGUUGGGGUGAAUUCAAAUAGAAACUUAGCAUUUAGGCCAGCAACUUUACAAUGGAAAGCAGAGAUCAACAUCUAUUCACCGCAGACUCAAAGCACAGGAUGUAUUGCCUUUACAAAUGAGAAAAGGUUAUGGAGAGGUUGAGAUAGCGGCCCGGGCUAACACUGUGAUCAUUUCAAGUAAACUGAAACGAUGCGAUCAGGAACCGAAACAGAAAGGAUUGAGGUUUGAAUGAGGGGGGGGGAGAUCCUAUGGAUGGGAUUUCCA